rnacentral:lncRNA from 1 species
GGAGAGUGCAAAAUGAAAAGGCUGUUGUAGUACGAAAUGGAGAAGCUGUUGUAGUGGAUGGAGAGUGUAUAUUUUUAAAGAGGAACCUAACUGUUGGGAUUUGGAGAGUGAGAAAUUGAUAGUCUGUUAGAAUAAGAAACUUAAUAUGGAGAGAGAGUAAUAUUUUUGUCAAUUUAAAUAGAGAGUAAAAUAGAGAGUGUUGUUGUAGAUGCUCUGAUAACAAGACUGAGCGGAGCCCACGUGUGUCAAGUCAUGCUGGACGGUCCACCCAUGCGAUGUGAUUGUCCUGUAGAAGCAUCUCAUCUGCCAUCUGCUCAUAGGUUCUUGUUUUUUGUUUGUCGCAUCCUCCGCAGAAAUGUCAAAUAGAGCAGGGAGAUGUGUGGUGUACGCUCCAAGUCUACAGCUACAGGCCCUCCUGCAUUUUCAUUUUGUUGCGGCUGGUAUUACAGAGGGAAUUUUUAUGUCUACAAAGCGGUGAAGGAAAAUCACCCUAUCCUAUUAAAAUGUACUAGUCCACACACCCUAUUUGCGUCUUCAUCUUCAACUCUGACAGUGGAACUGACAGGUAAGGGAAGUUCUGUAAAAUGUUUUGGGGUUUCCUGGGGGCUUGCAAGGAUUAAUUAAGGAAAGUCGAUCUGAGAACAACAGAUCAACACGGUAGUGAAGAAGGUCACAAGGACGUUGGGCAACGCCAAUGACCAGAGGUUGUAGGCUUGUGACCGGGUGAGGACGAUCGCACAUGCUGCGCCGCCCGUGCGACAGAAGCGGGUAACAGACACAUCACAAGGGAUUGCACGAGGUGAGCUGGUGCGGGUGCAGCGAACGUCGCACGGGAGAGAAAAAAUAAUGUCAAGCAGGAACUUUGGGAAAAUGACGCAUGGCAGUCAAA